UACGUAGGGGGCAAGCGUUGUCCGGAAUCAUUGGGCGUAAAGCGCGUGUAGGCGGCUUGGUAAGUCUGCUCUGAAAGCCCGGGGCUCAACCCCGGGAGGCGGGUGGAUACUGUCAAGCUCGAGUCCGGAAGAGGAGUGUGGAAUUCCUGGUGUAGCGGUGAAAUGCGCAGAUAUCAGGAGGAACACCUGUGGCGAAAGCGGCGCACUGGACCAUAACUGACGCUGAGGCGCGAAAGCUAGGGGAGCAAACAGG
rnacentral:rRNA from 1 species